rnacentral:lncRNA from 1 species
GGGGCAUGUGUGGAGAAAAACAAAAAGAAAGGGCACGACAUGAAGGUGCUUCUUGGUAUGAGGUAUGCUACAUAUCUCUUCUUUCUUACACAAUCAAAAGUUGGUUGUUUUGGACAUCUCCUCUCCACCUUUGUGUUCAUAUUUAGAUAUGGGUUUCUUCUCUCUCCUUUAUCCAAAAGUUGAAUAAAAUUUCUACAUCUCUAUUGUAGAGAUUUGUUGCAUGAGUUUAAG